rnacentral:rRNA from 1 species
GACGAACGCUGGCGGCGCGCCUAACACAUGCAAGUCGAACGGAGCUGAGAGAAGCUUGCUUUUCUUAGCUUAGUGGCGAACGGGUGAGUAACGCGUGAGUAACCUGCCCUGGAGUGGGGGACAACAGUUGGAAACGACUGCUAAUACCGCAUAAGCCCACGAUCCGGCAUCGGAUUGAGGGAAAAGGAUUUAUUCGCUUCAGGAUGGGCUCGCGUCCAAUUAGCUAGUUGGUUAGGUAACGGCCCACCAAGGCGACGAUUGGUAGCCGGACUGAGAGGUUGAACGGACACAUUGGGACUGAGACACGGCCCAGACUCCUACGGGAGGGAGCAGUGGGGGAUAUUGCACAAUGGGGGAAACCCUGAUGCAGCGACGACGCGUGGAGGAAGAAGGUUUUCAGAUUGUAAACUCCUGUCGUUAGGGACGAUAAUGACGGUACCUAACAAGAAAGCACCGGCUAACUACGUG